rnacentral:rRNA from 1 species
UACGUAGGUGACAAGCGUUAUCCGGAAUUAUUGGGCGUAAAGCGCCCGCAGGCGGCUGUUCAAGUCUGACGUGAAAUCGCUCGGCUUAACUGGGCGGGGUCGUUGGAAACUGAAUAGCUUGAGGCAAGGAGAGGGGCGUGGAAUUCCCGGUGUAGCGGUGAAAUGCGCAGAUAUCAGGAAGAACACCCGUGGCGGAGGCGGCUCUCUGGGACGGUACUGACGCUGAGACGCGAAAGCGUGGGGAGCGAACAGG